rfam:Ictidomys tridecemlineatus contig022621, whole genome shotgun sequence.
GGGAUUGUGGCUCAGUGGUUGAGCGCUUGCCUAACACGUGCAAGACCCUGGGUUCAAUCCUCAGCACCA